AACGCACCUUGCGCCCCUUGGUACUCCGAGGGGCAUGCCUGUUUGAGUGUCAUUAAAUUCUCAACUUGGCCCGGGUUUUGCUCUCGGGGCUCGAGCUUGGAUUUGGAGUGUGCUGGUUCCCCUUGUGAGGGGGAUUGGCUCCUCUGAAAAACAUUAGCGACGAAAUCUCUUCAAGGGUUUGAUAUAUCCCCCCAAAUGCGCUGUGGCGUUGAUAACAAUUGUCUACGUCUCACCGCGGGAGAGGAAUGAAGUUGUCGCUUACAAUUGUCCUCGCUGAGGGACAAAGGCGGCUCGAGCCACCUUUGACAAUUACCUCAAAUCAGGUAGGACUACCCGCUGAACUUAA
rnacentral:misc_RNA from 1 species